rnacentral:rRNA from 1 species
AGAGUUUGAUCAUGGCUCAGAACGAANCGCUGGCGGCGUGCUUAACACAUGCAAGUCGAACGNGAAAGAGUUCCUUCGGGAACUUGAGUAGAGUGGCGCACGGGUGAGUAACGCGUAGAUAAUCUACCCUUAUAUACGGGAUAACUGAGCGAAAGCUCAGCUAAUACCGCAUACGCUUAUCUGACCGCGAGGGCAGGUGAGGAAAGAUGGCCUCUGAUUCAAGCUAUCGUAUAGGGAUGAGUCUGCGUACCAUUAGCUAGUAGGUGGGGUAAUGGCCUACCUAGGCUACGAUGGUUAGCGGGUCUGAGAGGAUGAUCCGCCACACUGGAACUGGAACACGGACCAGACUCCUACGGGAGGCAGCAGUGAGGAAUUUUGCGCAAUGGGGGCAACCCUGACGCAGCGACGCCGCGUGGGUGAUGAAGGCUUUCGAGUCGUAAAGCCCUGUCAAGUGGGAAGAAACGUCAUUGAGUUAAUACCUUGAUGAUNNGACGGUACC